rnacentral:rRNA from 1 species
GGUGAACGCUGGCGGCGUGCUUAAGACAUGCAAGUCGAACGCAGUCUUCGGACUGAGUGGCGCACGGGUGAGUAACACGUAACUGACCUACCCCCAAGUCGCGAAUAACCAGCCGAAAGGAUGGCUAAUACGUGAUGUGAUGAUCCGCUGUGGCGGAUCAUUAAAGACUUGAUCGCUUGGGGAUGGGGUUGCGUUCCAUCAGCUAGUUGGUAAGGUAAAGGCUUACCAAGGCAACGACGGAUAGCCGGCCUGAGAGGGUGGCCGGCCACAGGGGCACUGAGACACGGGUCCAACUCCUACGGGAGGCAGCAGUUAGGAAUCUUCCACAAUGGGCGCAAGCCUGAUGGAGCGACGCCGCGUGAGGGAUGAAGGUUCUCGGAUCGUAAACCUCUGAACCAACGACGAAAGACCCGACAAGGGAGAUGACGGUAGUUGGGUAAUAGCACCGGCUAACUCCGUGCCAGCCGCCGCCGUAACAC